rnacentral:rRNA from 1 species
GACGAACGCUGGCGGCGUGCUUAACACAUGCAGGUCGAACGGAAAGGCCUGCUUUCCCUUGUGGAUUGCGGGUACUCGAGUGGCGAACGGGUGAGUAACACGUGAGUGAUCUGCCCCCAACUUGGGUAUAAGCCUGGGAAACUGGGUCUAAUUCCCGAUAGGACUGCAGGGUGGUGCCUGUGGUGGAAAACGAUUUUCUAGUGGUUGGGGAUGAGCUCGCGGCCUAUCAGCUUGUUGGUGGGGUAAUGGCCUACCAAGGCGGCGACGGGUAGCCGGCCUGAGAGGGUGGACGGCCACAUUGGGACUGAGAGACGGCCCAGACUCCUACGGGAGGCAGCAGUGGGGAAUAUUGCACAAUGGGCGGAAGCCUGAUGCAGCGACGCCGCGUGGGGGAUGACGGCCUUCGGGUUGUAAACUCCUUUCGACCGCGAGGAAGCCACCUGGUUGGAAGGGUGGUGACGGUAGUGGUAGAAGAAGCACCGGCUAACUACGUG